rnacentral:rRNA from 1 species
AACCCUACGGGGGGCAGCAGUGGGGGAUAUUGCACAAUGGGGGAAACCCUGAUGCAGCGACGCCGCGUGAGUGAAGAAGUAUUUCGGUAUGUAAAGCUCUAUCAGCAGGGAAGAAAAAAGACGGUACCUGACUAAGAAGCUCCGGCUAAAUACGUGCCAGCAGCCGCGGUAAUACGUAUGGAGCAAGCGUUAUCCGGAUUUACUGGGUGUAAAGGGAGCGCAGGCGGCCUUGCAAGUCUGAUGUGAAAGGCCGGGGCCCAACCCCGGGACUGCAUUGGAAACUGCGAGGCUGGAGUGUCGGAGAG